rnacentral:rRNA from 1 species
UAGUGACGAGAGGACCGGAGUGGACGCAUCACUGGUGUUCGGGUUGUCAUGCCAAUGGCACUGCCCGGUAGCUAAAUGCGGAAGAGAUAAGUGCUGAAAGCAUCUAAGCACGAAACUUGCCCCGAGAUGAGUUCUCCCUGACUCCUUGAGAGUCCUGAAGGAACGUUGAAGACGACGACGUUGAUAGGCCGGGUGUGUAAGCGCAGCGAUGCGUUGAGCUAACCGGUACUAAUGAACCGUGAGGCUUAACCUUACAACGCCGAAG